UACGUAGGGUGCGAGCGUUGCCCGGAUUUAUUGGGCGUAAAGGGCGCGUAGGCGGUCACGCACGUCCGUUGUGAAAUCGCUCGGCUCAACUGGGCGGGGUCAGCGGAUACGGCGUGGCUGGAGCAAGCUAGGGGGCAAUGGAAUUCCCGGUGUAGUGGUGGAAUGCGUAGAGUAUCGGGAGGAACACCAGUGGCGAAGGCGGUUGCCUGGAGCUUUGCUGACGCUGAUGCG
rnacentral:rRNA from 1 species